rnacentral:rRNA from 1 species
UCCGGUUGAUCCUGCCGGACCCCACUGCUAUCGGGGUGGGACUAAGACAUGCUAGUCGUGCGCCUCCAAGCCACGGUGGAGGCGCGGCGCACAGCUCAGUAACACGUGGCUAACCUACCCUUGGGACAGGGACAACCCCGGGAAACUGGGGCUAAUCCCCGAUAGGUGAGGACUCCUGGAAUGGGUCCUCGCUGAAAGGGCGUCUAGACCAUGCUUCUAGACGCUGCCCAAGGAUGGGGCCGCGGCCGAUCAGGUUGUUGGUGAGGUAACGGCUCACCAAGCCUAAGACCGGUACGGGCCGUGAGAGCGGGAGCCCGGAGAUGGACACUGAGACAAGGGUCCAGGCCCUACGGGGCGCAGCAGUCGCGAAACCUCCGCAAUACGCGAAAGCGUGACGGGGCCACCCCGAGUGCCGUCCGCUGAGGACGGCUUUUCCCCAGUGUAGACAGCUGGGGGAAUAAGGGGAGGGCAAGUCGGGUGUCAGCCGCCGCGGUAAUACCCGCUCCCCGAGUGGUGGGGACGCUUAUUGGGCCUAAAGCAUCCGUAGCCGGCUGGACAAGUCCCCUGCUAAAUCCAGCGAUUUAAUCGCUGGACUGCGGGGGAUACUGUCCAGCUAGGGGGCGGGAGAGGCCGGCGGUAUUCCCGGGGUAGGGGUGAAAUCUUAUAAUCCCGGGAGGACCACCAGUGGCGAAGGCUGCCGGCUGGAACGCGCCCGACGGUGAGGGAUGAAAGCUGGGGGAGCGAACCGGAUUAGAUACCCGGGUAGUCCCAGCUGUAAACGAUGCGGGCUAGGUGUUGGCACGGCUACAAGCCGUGUCAGUGCCGCAGGGAAGCCGUUAAGCCCGCCGCCUGGGGAGUACGGCCGCAAGGCUGAAACUUAAAGGAAUUGGCGGGGGAGCACCACAAGGGGUGAAGCUUGCGGUUUAAUUGGAGUCAACGCCGGG